rnacentral:lncRNA from 1 species
CAGACUUUGAAGAUUCCCCCAUGGACGGCCUCACCCUCCCUGAGGAACAGAAAGGGGAGUUUUUCAACCGCAACUUGAAUUCUUCCCCAUGGUUUUUAAAAAGUGAAGCCCAAGAGUCCAGCAGGCCAUCCUGUGCUUAGCAGCAAGUCCAUCCUGCCUGCAUCAAGCUCUGGCCUGUGUCCCUCAGCAGCAACUGUAGAUUGUGGUGGCUCUUGAGCCUCACUCCUGUGCUAUGCUUCUCAGCACAUACUUGACAGUGUAGGCAAAGGCUGCAAACCCAACUAUAACAAACAAGUUCGCCAAAACGCCUCCCAGGAGUCCAUGAUGCCUGUUGGCCUG